UAUGGAGUUCCCGGGCCUGGGACUGGAUCCAAGCCGCAGUUGCAACCUACACCACAGCUAUGGCAACACCAGAUCCUUUAACCCACUGGGCCGGGUUGGGGAUCAAACCUGCAUCCUGGCGCUGCAGACACACCCCUGAUCCCUUUGAGCCACCGUGGGAACCCUGGAACAUAAUUAUUAUAGUGAUUUUUCCCACCGUGAGUGACAGACGAAAUCCCCCACGAUUCCACUAACCCAAAUUUGGGGCUGUGGACAGUCCUGACCAGGGAACAAUCGUGCUGUGUCCUGGACCUUUUGGACGGCAUGUGGCCCAAGGGCUCAACUGACAGGAGAAACGGGAGGAUUGCUUUAUACCCCCUUAGGGCCAGGGUCACAUUGCUGAUUAAUAGCAGUAUUAGGCCUAAAGUUCAAUAAUUCUGCUCCUAUUUGAGGGCUCUUUCCAGGGAAACCUCAGUCAUGGUAUCGGACCAAAAAAAAAAAAAAAAAAAAAUCUAUCUCCACAUACAGGUAUGUAAACCCCCACAGCGUUCUUUGAUGGAAUCCAGUAAGUCAUGGAUAAGGUGAGCAAGUGACUUGCACUGACUCAAAUAACCCCAAUUUCCAAACAGGAGAAUCUACCUACGUCUAAAGUCUUCUCUUCCCAUCGUGCGUGUUCCACAGGUGAGGGCAGGUACCGUGGGCAAAGUCAGAGCUGGCCGCACUGUCGUGGCAACUCACCCCUGAUAAAUAACACAACCACCCAAGGAACGUGGAGGUGGCUUAUCUCAUAACACCAGUUCCCUUCUCUACGACGCAGCGAGGCCAGCGGGAAAAGAGCACCUCCACGGAGCCUGAGAGUUCCUGGAGAGUGUUCUGGAAAGCUGAAUUGAGACGCUGCCCCGUGGCACCGGUAAGGAGGAGGAGGGACGUCACUGGCCCCUGGACGCUUCCUCCAUCACAGGGUCUGAGUCACAGGUCUGGUGCCAGAAGUUUAUGGUUUGUCCUCAAGAGCACAGCUUCGAACAUCUUCCCUGCAUUCCAAGGGGUGGCAUCACUCUGGGCCCUUCUCCCCUUCCCAGGCUCACACACACCCCAGAUCACUCCUGAUCUCAGCACCAUUCCACCCUGGGCACUGUGUGCAGAGCCUCUUCUGCGUGGGACGGGACGGCCGCCCCACGCGUCUGGAUACAGGCACGCCAAGCAGAAGGGCCGCUCCCCCGCCUCCUGGCCACCUUCAGCUCACCUGUCUGGGCACCAGUGACAUUCCAGGAGCCUCUGCGGGGGCGGGAGGCGGGGGGGAGGGGACCCUCAGGCCCGAGGAGGUACAGGUUCUUCUUCCAAAACCCGACACUCACCUGGUGCCCUGACGCUAAGUCUCAAGGCAUCGGCUCAUCUUAACGUCAACAGUAUUGGAGACAAAAGCACCGCUGGAAAAAGAGAGGGGGUAUAACCUCGGAAGUGACCAGGCUCGCACAUGGAAAUGUGGCCGCUCGGGUCCUUCUUCAGGCGUUUUUCAAGGAAGCCAAGUCCUCUUCCGAAUUUAGUUCCCAUACUGCUAUUUUCAUCUCCUCUUUUACUACGUGUGACUUUCUAGCUGAUCCCCUUUGUCCGACACACCAACUUGGUGGCCUCACGGCCAAGGGGGCGAGAGGCCCGGCGUCAGGCUGGUGAAGAAGAAUGGACGCCUCCUCCAAGACACAGAACCGACGGCGGUGGCAAGGCUGACAGGGGGUGACGGGCAUCAAAGGUGCCAACGUUGAGCCGUAAAUAAACACGUCCCGGGAAUACAACAUAAUACGCGGCUGCAGUAACACUCCCGGGGUGUGUGUGAACGUUGCUAAGAGUAAAUUUUAAAAGUUCUCAUCACGAGAGACUAAAUACGAGUAACUGUGUGGGGACGGACGUUAACGAACCUUAUCGGGGUGAUGACGUUUCACAGCUGACGCACCUGACGCGCAUCAAACCAUUAUGCUGCAACCCUUACGCUACGACGACGAUCUGUCAUUUACAUCUCAAACUGCCCAAGUGAAAUUAAAAUUAAAAAGAACAGCUGGAGCUCUCUGGCAGCCUAGCAGUUAAGGAUCCAGGAGUAUCACUGCCGUGGUGCAGGUUCGAUCCCUGUUUGCAAGAGACGCAGCCAAAAAAAAAAAAAAAGAACAGCUAGAGGAGAACUGCCUCUGGGGGCCCUGACCCUGUCCCUACAUCCCUCAAGCCAGCAAACAUCUUUUCUCACACCGGGCAUCAGGAAAAAGAAAAAGCCUUGCUCUCACAACCUCUGUACCAAAGAUAGAUUUAAGGAGAACCGUUUCAAUUAAACAUUGCUCAACCAAAAAAAAGGGGGAGUUUUUCACAACAGACUUAGUUCCAUAACUUACUGGCAGCCCCAAGAGGGGCCACUGUCUGACUUGAGGAUAGCAAAUUCUAGACGACACAGCAGCCAGCCGGCUGUUGAAGGAAAACUCGAGGUGGCUCACUGUGGCCCACGGCAGGGCACAGAGACGCUGCCACUCCCUCCACUGCACUGUCCUGGGGCUGUCCUGCCAGCAAAAGAUCCACCCCGACGCUCCCCCGACCCCCCCCCCGUAAAACCAGGUAGGAGCAGGAGGAGGAGGGAGGCCGCCAGCCUCUCGACGACACGGCCCCCUUUCUCUAGCAAGGUC
rnacentral:lncRNA from 1 species